rnacentral:rRNA from 1 species
UACGUAGGGGGCCAGCGUUGUCCGGAAUCAUUGGGCGUAAAGCGCGCGUAGGCGGCCCGGUAAGUCCGCUGUGAAAGUCAAAGGCUCAACCUUUGAAUGUCAGCGGAUACUGCCGGGCUAGAGUCCGGAAGAGGCGAGUGGAAUUCCUGGUGUAGCGGUGGAAUGCGCAGAUAUCAGGAGGAACACCAACGGCGAAGGCAGCUCGCUGGGACGGUACUGACGCUGAGGCGCGAAAGCGUGGGGAGCGAACAGG